UACGGAGGAUGCGAGCGUUAUCCGGAUUUAUUGGGUUUAAAGGGUGCGUAGGCGGACUGUCAAGUCAGCGGUAAAAUUGAGAGGCUCAACCUGUUCCCGCCGUUGAAACUGGUGGUCUUGAGUGGAUGAGAAGUACGCGGAAUGCGUGGUGUAGCGGUGAAAUGCAUAGAUAUCACGCAGAACUCCGAUUGCGAAGGCAGCGUACCGGCAUCCAACUGACGCUGAGGCACGAAAGCGUGGGGAUCAAACAGG
rnacentral:rRNA from 1 species